UGUCUUUGAACUUCACUCCCAGGCUCAGGUCUCUAGUUUCUUGUUUAACGUCCUAAUUAGAAGAAAGUCUUGAGAGGAAUUUUGUCCUGACUGAACAGAUUUUUGACCAGUUAUCAAGGCAUGUCUUGGCUUCAUCCUUAUCCUCUUGCAACAUGGCUCCCAUGUGUGACAAGGCUGUGACCUGGAUAGAUACCAAACUGGCUCGAAGAAAUUGUGUGACUUCUAUGUGAUUCUCCACUUGAGAUUCACAUCUAAUAACAAGGGUCUCCUUUCCUCCGGUAGAGCAGCCUAAGACCCCAGCCCAAGGUGGUGGCACCCACUUUAAGGAUAUGUCUUCUCAGCUCAAUGAACAUAAUCAAGGUAGCUUGAACGCUUAGAAGAUCGCCGGAGUGCCUGCACCAAUCCUGUGUCUGUCUUCUGUUGAAUGGAGCAUCGGGGCUCCUUCCUUGGUUAAGAUGAUUGAGCAGAAAGGAUCCAUUCACAGUUUCAGCAGCAUCUCUGGAAUGGCUAUGUGAAGGAACACUGCAAAGAGCUGGAAUUCCAGUCCGGCUGGAAGAAACAUGGAGCACUCUGGGGGUAUUAACAAGGAAGAAAUACAAAUCGGAUUUGAGCAGAGGGAAGAGAAGCCUCGGCCAGCUGCAUGGGAACAGGAAGGACAUUGCAUGCUACUUUAGCUGGUCUCUUUCCUGCUGGGAAAAGUCAACGCGUAAAUGAUAAAAUUUAUAGUGCAUGGAGGGUUGAGAGCCAGACUCGCAUCAUUUGAGUCUGAAUUCCGGUCCUGAAUAGAAUGCUAUUGUCUCCCUCUGUCCCCCACUUCCAAUGGAAUGGGGCUGCUGCUGAGUGGCAUCACAGUCUUCUCACAGAGUCGGAGGCAUUAGCAAAGGCAAGGCUUUGUUUGGGGAAUGAGACAUUGACACUGAUCUUUAGUUAAAAUGGUCUCAGGAACAGUUAUGUCAUGGCAUCAUCCAUUUCUAGAAGAGGACGGGUCUUAGAAAAGCUGAACUGCAAGUUUCUUAUCCAUAGGGCAAGAUGGGCACAGAAGGAGGAAGGUAUGCUCCAGUCUUUCAGGAAGACUCUGCAGGAAGGAUACCGUGGACAAGGGCUGAAAAAUCUAAAUCCCAACCUUGAAAAGAUCAUGUGACAGAUACUGCCUUGCCAUGUACAUGCCCGGAUGAUCCAUCUCUCAUGUCAAUGCCCGUUCUCAUCUGAAAAGUACCCAGCUUGAUCACUCACCUGAGCCACCUGAAAGAUGGGAGCCAAAUCCACUUCCUGCUCAGGUGUCAGGGGAAGGAGAGCCCAUUCUGUCCUGGACUCAGCAGCUGCCAAGACCCUGAGGGCUUGAGAAAAGGAACUCUGAUGACCUGAUGACUUUCUUUGUUGUUGUUAUUGGUUUGUUUUGCUUUGUUUUGUUUCUUAAACGAUAGUGACUUUGUUGGUACUGUCACGAAACCCUCAAAGCAUGUGAGUAUGAGGGAUGAUUGUGAGCAAUGUGGUUUAAAAAUGGAGUCUGAGCAUUGGCCCUGCUAUUGACUACCUCAGGGGAUAAAAUGAAAUAGUUGA